rnacentral:rRNA from 1 species
AGUGAACGCUGGCGGUAGGCCUAACACAUGCAAGUCGAACGGCAGCACAGUAAGAGCUUGCUCUUACGGGUGGCGAGUGGCGGACGGGUGAGGAAUACAUCGGAAUCUACUUUUUCGUGGGGGAUAACGUAGGGAAACUUACGCUAAUACCGCAUACGACCUACGGGUGAAAGCAGGGGAUCUUCGGACCUUGCGCGAUUGAAUGAGCCGAUGUCGGAUUAGCUAGUUGGCGGGGUAAAGGCCCUCCAAGGCGACGAUCCGUAGCUGGUCUGAGAGGAUGAUCCGCCACACUGGAACUGAGACACGGUCCAGACUCCUACGGGAGGCAGCAGUGGGGAAUAUUGGACAAUGGGCGCAAGCCUGAUCCAGCCAUACCGCGUGGGUGAAGAAGGCCUUCGGGUUGUAAAGCCCUUUUGUUGGGAAAGAAAAGCAGCAGGUUAAUACCCCGCUGUUCUGACGGUACCCAAAGAAUAAGCACCGGCUAACUUCGUG